GAGAGAGGCCGGGUAGGCACCGAAGACUGCUAAUUUUCGCUACCUUGGUUAAACUCCGAGGCUCACUCG
rnacentral:tRNA from 1 species